rnacentral:rRNA from 1 species
GCAAGUCGAGGGGCAGCAUAUCCAGCUUGCUGGAUGAUGGCGACCGGCGCACGGGUGCGCAACGCGUAUGGAACCUCCCUUCUACAGGGGAAUAGCCCAGGGAAACUUGGAUUAAUGCCCCGUGCUACCGAAAAGCGGCAUCGCUUUUCGGUUAAAGCCCUCGGGCGGUAGAAGAUGGCCAUGCGUACCAUUAGCUAGGUGGUGGGGUAACGGCCCACCAUGGCUACGAUGGGUAGGGGGCCUGAGAGGAGGAUC